GGUUCCUGGAGAGCCGGCUGGCACGGACAGACUCAUGUGAGGGCAAGUGGCUGAUCGUGCGUCGGAUGGGUCCAGCAAAGGAGAGAAAGCUUCGGUGCGCGCGCGCUCGCCAGGGAAAGGGUGACAGGGGUGGACCGAGAGGGAGAGAGAGAGGGAGAGAACAAAGGAAGAGAGAGGGUUUCCGCAGGGGCGGUGAGUCCUGGCGGAAGUCCUGAGGCAGAGGAGGUGCCAGGGGUUUGGGUUUCCCGGUCGUGUCGGGGUGUGGCGCAGGUUGCCCCAGUGGGCCUGAAUGUGCCUCCGUGGGGCACCUUGUUGCCGUGUUGGGGGGCGGGGAGCCGGCCUUGGGGAUCCAUCUUUCGGGCCCUGGGACGUGGGAGAAGAAUGCCGGGGCCUCUCUCUGUGCCCCUGGCACGCCUCUGUGCAGGCCGGGCCUGCACCGCCCCCCCCCCGGCCCCCAGGCAGGGUCCGUGUGGCUGCAGACACCCAGAGAGAGGAGGCUGGGGAGGCUGGGGAGCCGUGGCAGCCCGAUGCAGUGCGGGUCUCCAGGUGGAGGGGCCCUGGUCCCUGGCGCCAGCGUGGCCCUUCCUCCUUGUGGAAACCCUUGUGGUGUGUGUGCUCUCUCGCCCUGACCCAGGAGAGCAGCAUGGCGGACCCCUGAUCUUGUGGCGUGCCACGCGCGAGGCCGAGGAGCUCCCGCAGCCCAGUGGGCGUGGCGUCCUUGUCGCGGCUCUGUGGAGACCUGGCGAUGGAGAGCAGCAUGGCGGACCCCUGAUCUUGUGGCGUGCCACCGCGCGAGGCCGAGGAGCUCCCGCAGACCAGUGGGCGUGGCGUCCUUGUCGCGGCUCUGUGGAGACCUGGCGAUGGAGAGCAGCAUGGCGGACCCCUGAUCUUGUGGCGUGCCACCGCGCGAGGCCGAGGAGCUCCCGCAGACCAGUGGGCGUGGCGUCCUUGUCGCGGCUCUGUGGAGACCUGGCGAUGGUGAGCGGCCCCUGUCCUCAGUGGUGGAGAACUCGCCCUUGGGGCGCUCGUCUGUCCGGAGCCCCGGGCCAGCCCCGCUUCUCGCGGGCUUUGGCCCCGGCAGGCCAGCUCCGGGGGCGUGAGGGGGAGCGUCCCGUCCUGCCCAGUGGCUCGUCUGUCUGGGCACGCCCCCAAACGCUGCCGUGAUGGAGCGGGUGGGAUGUCCAGGUGCGGAGGCCGUGAAUUUGCCUUGCGGCGGCGGAGCCCGUGCUCGGAUCGAUGAUGACUCCCUCUAAAGCAUUCCUUGGAAAUCUGAACAAAAUGAGUGAGAACUCACUACCGUCUCCUCAUCGAAACUGAGGUCCGGCACGUGGCGGCCACCGGGGGCUCGGGGGCCCUUGGCCUUGGGGCCUCUGUGUGUCAGCAGCCACUCGGGUGAGGUCUGGGGAAGGCG
rnacentral:lncRNA from 1 species